rnacentral:rRNA from 1 species
CUUAUGCCGGCGACCGGCGGACGGGUGCGUAACGCGUAUGUAACCUACCUUUGACAGGGGGAUAACAUCGAGAAAUUGGUACUAAUACCCCAUAACAUCACCGGAGGCAUCUUCGGUGGUUGAAAACUCAGGUGGUCAGAGAUGGACAUGCGUUGUAUUAGCUAGUUGGCGAGGUAACGGCUCACCAAGGCGACGAUACAUAGGGGGACUGAGAGGUCAACCCCCCACAUUGGUACUGAGACACGGACCAAACUCCUACGGGAGGCAGCAG